rnacentral:rRNA from 1 species
UACGAAGGGUGCAAGCGUUACUCGGAAUUACUGGGCGUAAAGGGCGCGUAGGCGGCUUGGUCAGUCCCGUGUGAAAUCCCUCGGCUCAACUGAGGAACUGCACGGGAAACUGCCUGGCUUGAGUUCGGGAGAGGGAAGCGGAAUUCCGGGUGUAGCGGUGAAAUGCGUAGAUAUCCGGAGGAACACCGGUGGCGAAGGCGGCUUCCUGGACCGACACUGACGCUGAGGCGCGAAAGCUAGGGGAGCAAACGGG